UACGGAGGGUGCAAGCAUUAAUCGGAUUGAUUGGGCGUAAAGAGCGCGUAGGCGGGAAGACAAGUCAGAUGUGAAAUCCCGGGGCUCAACCUCGGAACAGCAUUUGAAACUGUCUUUCUAGAGGGUAGGCGGAGAAAACGGAAUUCCACAAGUAGCGGUGAAAUGCGUAGAUAUGUGGAAGAACACCAGUGGCGAAAGCGGUUUUCUAGCUUAUACCUGACGCUGAGGCGCGAAAGCAAGGGGAGCAAAC
rnacentral:rRNA from 1 species